CAGCAGGCGCGCAAAUUACCCACUCCCGGCACGGGGAGGUAGUGACGAAAAAUAACGAUACGGGACUCAUCCGAGGCCCCGUAAUCGGAAUGAGCACACUUUAAACCCUUUAACGAGUAUCCAUUGGAGGGCAAGUCUGGUGCCAGCAGCCGCGGUAAUUCCAGCUCCAAUAGCGUAUAUUAAAGUUGUUGCGGUUAAAAAGCUCGUAGCUGGAUUUGUGUCCCACGCUGUCGGUUCACCGUUCGUCGGUGUUUAACUGGCAUGCCCGUGCGGACGUCCUGCCGGUGGAUGCGGUCGACCGUGGGCCUCUGGUCUGCGCGUCGGCGGUCCGAUGCAAUCCUACCGCGGUGCUCUUUACCGAGUGUCGAGGUGGGCCGGCACGUUUACUUUGAACAAAUUAGAGUGCUCAAAGCAGGCAGUGGCUCGCCUGAAUAUUGUGUGCAUGGAAUAAUGGAAUAGGACCUCGGUUCUAUUUUGUUGGUUUUCGGAACUUGAGGUAAUGAUUAAUAGGGACAGACGGGGGCAUUCGUAUUGCGACGUUAGAGGUGAAAUUCUUGGAUCGUCGCAAGACGAACCUAAGCGAAAGCAUUUGCCAUGGGUGUUUUCAUUAGUCAAGAACGAAAGUUAGAGGUUCGAAGGCGAUCAGAUACCGCCCUAGUUCUAACCAUAAACGAUGCCAGCUAGCGAUCCGCCGAAGUUCCUCCGAUGACUCGGCGGGCAGCUUCCGGGAAACCAAAGCUUUUGGGUUCCGGGGGAAGUAUGGUUGCAAAGCUGAAACUUAAAGGAAUUGACGGAAGGGCACCACCAGGAGUGGAGCCUGCGGCUUAAUUUGACUCAACACGGGAAACCUCACCAGGCCCGGACACCGGAAGGAUUGACAGAUUGAGAGCUCUUUCUUGAUUCGGUGGGUGGUGGUGCAUGGCCGUUCUUAGUUGGUGGA
rnacentral:rRNA from 1 species